rnacentral:rRNA from 1 species
GACGAACGUUGGCGGCGUGCCUAAUACAUGCAAGUCAACUGAAAUACCGGUAGCAAUACUGGUAUGGAGGUGGCGCACGGGUGAGUAACACGUAGGUAAUCUGCCUUCAGGUCUGACAUAACCCAUCGAAAGGUGAGCUAAUAUCAGAUGAUGCAGCGGCUUGACAUCAAGACAGUUGUUAAAGCUUCGGCGCCUGAAGAUGAGCCUGCGUCUGAUUAGCUAGUUGGCGGGGUAACGGCCCACCAAGGCUGCGAUCAGUAGCUGGUCUGAGAGGAUGAUCAGUCACACUGGAACUGAGACACGGUCCAGACUCC